rfam:TPA: Bos taurus chromosome 15, whole genome shotgun sequence.
UCCCUGGUGGUUCGGUGGUUAGGACUCUGCACUUCCACUGCAAGGGGCCUGGGUUCAAUCCCCAGUCAGGGAA